rnacentral:rRNA from 1 species
GCAAGUCGAACGGACUCAUAUUGAAACCUAGUGAUUUAUGAGUUAGUGGCGGACGGGUGAGUAACGCGUGGAUAACCUGCCGUAUACCGGGGGAUAACACUUAGAAAUAGGUGCUAAUACCGCAUAAGCGCACGGCUCCGCAUGGGGCAGUGUGAAAAACUCCGGUGGUAUGAGAUGGGCCCGCGUCUGAUUAGCUAGUUGGCGGGGUAACGGCCCACCAAGGCGACGAUCAGUAGCCGACCUGAGAGGGUGACC